rnacentral:rRNA from 1 species
UGCGUAGGCGGUUUGGCAAGUUGGUAGCGUAAUUCCGGGGCUCAACUCCGGAACUACUACCAAAACUGCUAGGCUUGAGUGCGGCAGGGGUAUGUGGAAUUCCUAGUGUAGCGGUGGAAUGCGUAGAUAUUAGGAGGAACACCAGAGGCGAAAGCGACAUACUGGGCCGUAACUGACGCUGAGGCACGAAAGCGUGGGGAGCAAACA